UGGCCAGAGCCAAGUCUGGGAGCAAUGCUGCUUGGGCCUCUGGAAGAGCAGAGUUAAGGAAGGGAAAUACUGCUGAGAAACAGCAGCUGGGAGAGAGGAGUGAUAAAAUGAGACAGAACCAGCCCUGCAGCCCCCAUGCUGUAACCUUUUCAGUAUUCAAUGGCAAAAAUGGCCCACGGGAACUUUCUGAUUAUCAUUCAAGAGCAAGUGUCAAGGGAACAUAAUUACUUUUGUUAUACGGCAUUCUUCCCACUGAGAUGACACCAAAUGCCUGUGUGGUUUAACAAACAACACUGAUAAGUGGCACUUUUGAUAGGAAUGAGCCAGUUGUAUAUGCUAAAUCAAGUAGCCAGCAGAGACUCUAACUUUUUAAAGAGAUUUCAAAAGACACCAGAGAGGGAUUAUAAAUUGCUUCUGGUGUCAGUAUGAUUUAAUCAUCCUGAGGUCCGAAUUUCAUUAUGGAAAGUACCAAGUGCCAUUGGCUUUGAGUAUCAAAAACAUUGUAACCUUCAGAAACAAAAGUUCAGUCACGGUAUGUUGUUCCUUUGAUAUAGAUAUUCUUCAGGAAAAGGAAACUGCAAUCUUAUUACUAGUAUUUUUUUUUUCCAGAAAAUGCUUUCUGUGUAAACGUGCAUUUACUCCCAGUACAUAACACAAAAUACAGUUUAAUACAAUUUAUCUAUUA